rnacentral:tRNA from 1 species
GCCUGGAUGGCUCAGUCGGUUAAGCAUCUGACUUCAGCUCAGGUCAUGAUCUCAAGGUUCAUGAGUUCGAGCCCCAUGCUGGGCU